rnacentral:rRNA from 1 species
GGCGGACGGGAGAGGAAUGCAUCGGAAUCUACUCUGUCGUGGGGGAUAACGUAGGCAAACUUACGCGAAUACCGCAUACGACCUACGGGUGAAAGCAGGGGACCUUCGGGCCUUGCGCGAUUGAAUGAGCCGAUGUCGGAUUAGCUAGUUGGCGGGGUAAAGGCCCACCAAGGCGACGAUCCGUAGCUGGUCUGAGAGGAUGAUCAGCCACACUGGAACUGAGACACGGUCCAGACUCCUACGGGAGGCAGCAGUGGGGAAUAUUGGACAAUGGGCGCAAGCCUGAUCCAGCCAUACCGCGUGGGUGAAGAAGGCCUUCGGGUUGUAAAGCCCUUAUGUUGGGAAACAAAUCCAGCCGGCUAAUACCCGGUUGGGAUGACGGUACCCAAAGAAUAAGCACCGGCUAACUUCGUGCCAGCAGCCGCGGUAAUACGAAGGGUGCAAGCGUUACUCGGAUUACUGGGCGUAAAGCGGGCGUAGGUGGUCGUUUAAGUCCGUUGUGAAAGCCCUGGGCUCUACCUGCGAACUGCAGUGGAUACUGGGCGACUAGCAUGUGGUAGAGGGUAGCGGAAUUCCUGGUGUAGCAGUGAAAUGCGUAGAUAUAGGAGACACAGUGGCGAGCGACCACCUGGACUGAUACUGACACUGAGUGCGAAGCGUGGGAGCAACAGAUAAUACCUGUAGUCACGCCGUAACGAUGUCACUACCGUGGAAUCCUGGAAUUUAUGGCCACUACCCAUAUGACGCUGGGGAUACGGCGCAGGUAAACUCAUGAUUGACGGGGCCGCACCGUGGACGUGUGUUAUUCAACACCGAAACUUACCGCCUGGUGCGAAAGCGUGGGAGCAAACAGGAUUAGAUACCUGGUAGUCCACGCCGUAAACGAGUUCACUAGCGUGAAUCCUGAGAUUUUAGUAGCGCAGCUAACGCAUUAAGUUGACCGCCUGGGCGUACGGCCGCAAGGUAAAAC